rnacentral:rRNA from 1 species
UACAGAGGUGGCUAGCGUUGUUCGGAUUCAUUGGGUGUAAAGGGUCCGUAGGCGGUUAGGUAAGUCAGCUGUGAAAUCUUGCGGCUCAACCGUAAAAUUGCAGUUGAAACUACCUAGCUAGAGUGCGAGAGAGGAAGACGGAAUUCCCGGUGUAAGGGUGAAAUCUGCAGAGAUCGGGAGGAACACCAGCUGCGAAGGCGGUCUUCUGGCUCGUAACUGACGCUGAGGGACGAAAGCUGGGGUAGCGAACAGG